rnacentral:rRNA from 4 species
CCUUCCCAUCCCGAACAGGACAGUGAAACGACUUUGCGCCGAUGAUAGUGCGGGUUCCCGUGUGAAAGUAGGUCAUCGUCAGGC